rnacentral:rRNA from 1 species
AGUGAACGCUGGCGGUAGGCCUAACACAUGCAAGUCGAACGGCAGCACAGGAGAGCUUGCUCUCUAGGUGGCGAGUGGCGGACGGGUGAGGAAUACAUCGGAAUCUGCCCAGUCGUGGGGGAUAACGUAGGGAAACUUACGCUAAUACCGCAUACGACCUUCGGGUGAAAGAGGGGGAUCGCAAGACCUCUCGCGAUUGGAUGAGCCGAUGUCGGAUUAGCUAGUUAGCGGGGUAAUGGCCCACCAAGGCGACGAUCCGUAGCUGGUCUGAGAGGAUGAUCGGCCACACUGGAACUGAGACACGGUCCAGAGUCCUACGGGAGGCAGCAGUGGGGAAUAUUGGACAAUGGUCGCAAGCCUGCUCCAGCCAUACCGCGUGGGUGAAGAAGGCCUUCGGGUUGUAAAGCCCUUUUGUUGGGAAAGAAAUCUUUCAGGCUAAUACCCUGGGAGGAUGACGGUACCCAAAGAAUAAGCACCGGCUAACUUCGUG